GGACAAUCUUGCUAGCGCGAGAACAGGAAGUAAAACCGACAAGGUGGCUAACACAGCUAGGGUCUAUCUUGGAUAAAGUUGCCGUAAACAUUAAUAAAAUGUAUGUUAACCGGAAUAUUGGCCAUACAGAGGGACGCGCUUAAGCAGCAGUGCAGCAGGGGAGAGGUGAUGAGGUGGUUACUUUCCAUGCAUGUAACAGCUCUCUCUCAACAUACUGGAAGAGUUUCUGGUUGUUGGCGCAAGUCAGGAUAACCUGCACCUAUGAGGACCAAUAGUGCUCGGGACAGAAGAAGGCCAAUAGCAGUAUUCACCUUCACUAAGACUUGCCAAUCUCAGUUUAUUGUCCCUAACCCCUGAUAAUUUUCAAAGUUGUCCUUUAUAAAAUAAUCAAAUAUUAUUGCACACUUUCUGUAAAUCCAAGAUCUUAAUUUCACUUCUCAUCUACCUCUGUGUUCGUCUGCUACAUGAUAUAUUGAACUGAAAUUGCUGAUCUCAACAACCAGUGACCUGAAAAUUACCAGGGGUGCCCAAACUUUUUCAUAGCACUGUAUAUAUAGAUGAAUGGAUAGAUAAUGUAUAUACAAUAUAUAUAAAACAUAUAUUAAAUAUAUGUGUUUUGCCUAAAACACAAAGACAAUAGGUCCUAUUGUCAGACAAUAGCUUCAUGGAUGACAAAAGAAGAGGCUAUUUACAGUUUGAAAUCACCAAACCAUGAAUCAGUCAAUUAACCAUAGUCAAUUAAUUGAAUAAUAGAUUACGCAUUGAUUAAUUGUCACCUCUAAUCUCAAUCCCAGAGGUACUGAAAAUAAAUAUUAUUUAAAUAAAUAUAUUUUUGGAGCAAAUCCUACUCUUUUCUAACAAUAUCACCUGACUCCAAAACCCCUCUUGGUGUGUGCUAAUCCCCCAAAAUACCAAAAAGAUACUUGGUUUCCCACCUGCUCUAUAAUUGCCAUAUUACAGUACUCUAUACGUGCAUAGUGUUAUGGACACACAGUAUGCUCCUUUGCGUGAGCUAUGGAUGAGCUCAUCUUAAGUGUCCCGUGACACGCGCUAAUGUAAUGUGUGCAAGACAAGGUGACACAACACGCCCACCUCUGCUGAUGACUGAUGGCCAAACGCGACCGCUGUGACCUCAUGCGUGCCGAGGCUUUCCUGCGGAGGCGACCAUGAUUAUAAAAUGAGAAAUAAAGAGAGUUGAGCGCGGCCAAUUCUUUACUUUCAGACCUUUUGAUGUAAACACAAAAUGCACACUUGCCUUGAGCAGAAAUGAAGUAACGGCUUCCAUGCAAUCUCUCUUCCUUUGUGUCCAAACACUGGCAGUGCAGUAUAAUUACUCCACAUGCUGUGUUUACACUGACAACACAAUACUUUCUUUCUGCCCUCUGCUUCUGUAAUAUACGUUUAAUAAAACUACAACCACCCCCGUCGCCUGGGAAUGCUCACAUUCAUAAGGUUGCUAACAACCGAGGACAGGGUAGCAGAAAACGGCAAUGGGGGGCUAAAACUGGUAACAUGCUUUUCAUGGCCAUCAUUCACUGGGAAAUAUGAAUGCCGUACCUCAAAUAGACAGCACCACUCACUUCAUAGACACCGUGUGUUGCCACACCUCAAAUAAAAACUGGCCUCCACUUUAAUCCGCACCUUGCCUCAAUCACUUGGUAGAAAUAAAAACCACACCUCAAACAAUAAACACCGGGCCUUAAACACUGGUUGCAAUGUGUACUUUAUAAAUAACCGCUAUAUUUCAAACAGAAAUCUCCUUUAUUUGAGGAAAAAAGACCUCCACUUUAAUAGUCAUCACACCUCAAAUAGAAAAGAAACUCUGCCUCAAUCACCGGUUACAAUGCGGACUUUAUGAAUAAACACCACACCUCAAAUAGAAUUCUGCUUCAUUCCCCUUGAGAAAAAAUUGCAUCCAGUUUAAUAGCCACCAUACCUCAGACAAUUAAAGUUAUGCAUGGCUUGCCAGUUAAAUAAACACCAGACCUCAAAUUGAAGUCUCCUUUAUUUCUCCCUUGAGAAAGAAAAAUGGCUUCCAGUUAAUUGCUACAUGCCUCAAAUAGACAAUCAGAAUUCAAUUAACACCACAUCUCCAAUAUAAAUCUCCUAUUUUCCACUCAAGGAAAAAUGGUGUCUAGUUUAACUAAUUCACUGCCAUUUUCAGAAAAGAGCACUCCAUAUUGCAAGAGUUUUUGGCCAUUUUUGCAGAAUUUUGAAGACCCACAGAAUAUUGACUUUAAAAACAACAUAAACAUUGAAACUAUGUAAAGAAUCUUAAUCUUUUUCAUCAGAAAAAAAAAGUUUGUUUCUAGCCUUUUUGGGUCUUUAUAAAUCGUCAGUAGAACAUUGGGUGGUUUCAAAAUUCCCAAACAAGAGAACAAUGGUAGCAAUAAAGUACAUACAGGUGGUCCUCCAUGUUGCUGCGUCUCGCGGUUACGUAUACGUGUUACCGUAAAUUUGUUUAAAAAAAUGUAUUUUAGUCUGUCAACAUGAGACUCGCUCACGAACUUGUAACAGCACAAGAAUUAACUAUGUGGCUCACCCGCUGCCAUCAUUAAGAACAAAGGCUACUGUUGACAACGGCGCCAAAACAACAUCAGCAAACACACACACAUACAGGUCACAGCCUCACAGGAAAUCGUAAGUCACAAAAAUCACAGGUCGCUACAGUAUCCUUGUUACUAGCUUGUUACUGCUCCUAUGAAAGCGAUAGCAAUAAUUAUAAGCAGCAUAGUUUUCAAUUUUUUUAUUACUGUGUAAUUUCAUGACUGUAUUUAGUGUUUUAGUGUUCUGUAUUUUAGGUGUUAAAUGUUAACUGAGGUAUGAGGACCGACUUAAACUAAAACCUGACUGAAUACUAUGGAACCUGUUAAAAAAGUAUUAUUCUUUGUAUGUCGGGGGAAAUAUACAAAUUAGCUUUAGUGGACGUAAAUAAAGGGACAUCUGAUAUAUUAUGUAGAUUAAAGGAGGAGUCAGGGCGUCUCUUGGCGGCAUGAAUGAUAAAAUGUUCAUUCUUUAAUAACAAUUACGAAAUAUGGCGGUUUAUGUGGUGAAUAAUUGGAGUCUAAAGAUUUUCAUACAUGGGAAUGUGCAUUAUCUACUGUAUUCGCACGGAUGAAGACACAUUACAUGCUCAUGCGUAACGUAGCACUUUCUGUGCUCAUGCCAGUGUAUUAAGAGUCUCAAACAAUGUUCCCCAGUCACGCCAAUUCAUAAAAGCUGACAAGCGCUGCCCCUGGGCCAGUUUGCCUGGGGAAGAAAUAAGACUCAGGAGAAGGCUUUUGUGUGGAUGAACAAAAGGAAUCUCCUUCCUCCUUUCUCUCUCGCUUCCCCUAAAUCCUAUCAUGUGCCACCAAGCGUCUCCCACAUGCCCGUUUCCAAGUUACCGCUUGCCAAUGCUGCUUCAUGGCCUGCCGGUGACGCCUUUUUACAUGCCGACAAAGACUCCACCUGCAGGUACUUCCAAGUCAAAUAGAGAGUGGAACUUCUCGCUUCUAACUUAUAAGGCUGGCUGCUAAACUGCAAUGUGGAGAUUCACUUCAAGAAAGUGAUAAAUAAGGAGUCCUGACCUUGCUCCCGCAUGAAGAAACAGAGCACCUCCUCUUGUCCGCGUUCCACCACCCUGUUGCUCCUCUUCCCUCGCUCGGGUUCUCCUCACACGCGGAGCCUCCUCAUCUUCCUCAGGGGCUGGGAUGAUGGUGAUGAUGAGCUGCUCAUGAGGAAAAGGAAGCCGGAUGUGGAGAAGAAAAGAAAGACAGACUCUUCUGGCCCCUGAGUGCUCCUCCUCGGUGGUGUCUCCCCAUCUGUCAGAGCGCAGCGGCAGUGAGUCUGUGUUAAGAGCGAGCGAGAGGCUGAGCGAGAUGAAACGAUACAUGAGCUGACGGAGGGAAGAGAGAGAGAGAGCGGAAGAGAGAGGGAGCUUGUGGAGAUGCACUGGAGGGAGAUCCUCUAUAUUGAGAGAGCUCUUGUUUAUCUCACUGCCAUG